rnacentral:lncRNA from 1 species
ACAAGAAAGGAACAGGCAACAGAAUGUAGGUGUAAAAGUGAGUUUAUUUUACAGGUUUAAUAAAUAAAAAUAUAAAUACAUAUAAAAUAAAUAAUAAAUAAAUAACAGUGGGGGAAGGAGGGGGGGGGGGGAGGUCAGCCCCUAUCACCCUCCCCCCCCACCCUGAGCAUUCAGGGCCUUCCCCGUCCGUGGGGUACUCCUCUUCAACAAGUGGGGGUCUCGGGGCUUCCCAUCAGCCUGGGGGUUCCUGGGGGGGUUCCUCCAGCAGCGGGGUCCUCGGGGGGUCCCGGAGGCUCUCCCCUCGCUGCAGCCGUUCCCAAACACGCUCCCGGUGGGCAGGCUGCAGGACGGGGUCGAGGACGGGGCGCAGCAGGGCCCGGCGGCGGGCAAAGCGCAGGCGGUCGCGGGCCAUGGUCUCCCAAGGACCUCGGCGGGCAUCAGGGUCUGGAGGGGGCUGGAGCAGGAACACCUGGACCUGAAGAUUGAACCGUACCUGGAGGGGGAGGGGGGGAGGAGGGAAAAGAAAACAGGGGGAUGAUGUCAGCCUGAUGGUGUCAUGGGUGAUGCAAGAGGCACGGGACUGCCUCAUGACUCCUCUCCUCCACCCUCCCCUUCCAUGUUGGCUCAGCUUCGUGGUGACAGGAGGGGCCGAUCCCUUCGGAGUCCCACAGUUCUGUGGGGUUCCCAUCUCAUGCCCCCCAACCCCCAAAUCCCCACCCACGUGGGGCUCACUUUCUUGGUGCCGCGGUCCUCGCUGCUCACGGGUUCUUCAGCCUUCGGGGAUUCCUCAAUUUUGGGAGGGUCCUUCCUGAAUCCGGCAACCCCUCUCUACGCAUCGGGAUCCCCCGCCAGUUCUUACCUGACGCUGGCUCCGCUCGCUCCGUGUCUGUUUCCAUUGCUCCUCUCUGUGUCAUCGCUGCCGCUCUAUUGUGCCCAGGCGGCCGCCGCCUCUCGAUAUAAGGACAGCGAUGACGUCACUCGAGGGGGGGGGGGGGGGGGGUGGAAUUCCCAGACUCAGCGCGAAACGUCAGCCCGGCAGGCGGCU